AAAAAAGGUAAGCUACUAAGAGCGAAUGGUGGAUGCCUUGACUGGUAAAGGCGAUGAAGGACGUACUAGACUGCGAUAAGCUACGGGGAGCUGUCAAGAAGCUUUGAUCCGUAGAUUUCCGAAUGGGGCAACCCAAUGUAUAGAGAUAUACAUUACCUAUAUAGGAGCGAACGAGGGGAAUUGAAACAUCUUAGUACCCUCAGGAAAAGAAAUCAAUAGAGAUUGCGUCAGUAGCGGCGAGCGAAAGCGCAAGAGGGCAAACCCAGUGCUUGCACUGGGGGUUGUAGGACUGCAAUGUGCAAGAGGUAAGUUUAGCAGAACAUUCUGGAAAGUAUAACCAUAGAGGGUGAUAGUCCCGUAUGCGAAAAACAAACCUUAGCUAGCAGUAUCCUGAGUAGGGCGGGACACGAGGAAUCCUGUCUGAAUCCGGGUCGACCACGAUCCAACCCUAAAUACUAAUACCAGAUCGAUAGUGCACAAGUACCGUGAGGGAAAGGUGAAAAGAACUGAGGUGAUCAGAGUGAAAUAGAACCUGAAACCAUUUGCUUACAAUCAUUCAGAGCCCUAUGUAGCAAUACAGGGUGAUGGACUGCCUUUUGCAUAAUGAGCCUGCGAGUUGUGGUGUCUGGCAAGGUUAAGCAAACGCGAAGCCGUAGCGAAAGCGAGUCUGAAUAGGGCGCUUAGUCAGAUGCUGCAGACCCGAAACGAAGUGAUCUAUCCAUGAGCAAGUUGAAGCUAGUGUAAGAACUAGUGGAGGACUGAACCCAUAGGCGUUGAAAAGCCCCGGGAUGACUUGUGGAUAGGGGUGAAAGGCCAAUCAAACUUCGUGAUAGCUGGUUCUCUCCGAAAUAUAUUUAGGUAUAGCGUUGUGUCGUAAUAUAAGGGGGUAGAGCACUGAAUGGGCUAGGGCAUACACCAAUGUACCAAACCCUAUCAAACUCCGAAUACCUUAUAUGUAAUCACAGCAGUCAGGCGGCGAGUGAUAAAAUCCGUCGUCAAGAGGGAAACAACCCAGACUACCAGCUAAGGUCCCUAAAUCUUACUUAAGUGGAAAACGAUGUGAAGUUACUUAAACAACCAGGAGGUUGGCUUAGAAGCAGCCAUCCUUUAAAGAAAGCGUAAUAGCUCACUGGUCUAGUGAUUUUGCGCGGAAAAUAUAACGGGGCUAAAGUAAGUACCGAAGCUGUAGACUUGCACACAACUUAGAUUAUUUAAGUUUAGAAUAUGAGAAACUAAGUUAUAUGUUUAGUUAUAUUUUUACUGAUUUUUAUAGAGUAAAGAUAGAAAUAAAACUUAGUAAAAUCAGUAAAAAUAUUCUUAGACUAAAGUUAAGUAGUUUAAGUUGUGUGCAAGUGGUAGGAGAGCGUUCUAUUUGCGUCGAAGGUAUACCGGUAAGGAGUGCUGGAGCGAAUAGAAGUGAGCAUGCAGGCAUGAGUAGCGAUAAUUAAUGUGAGAAUCAUUAACGCCGUAAACCCAAGGUUUCCUACGCGAUGCUCGUCAUCGUAGGGUUAGUCGGGUCCUAAGUCGAGUCCGAAAGGGGUAGACGAUGGCAAAUUGGUUAAUAUUCCAAUACCAACAUUAGUGUGCGAUGGAAGGACGCUUAGGGCUAAGGGGGCUAGCGGAUGGAAGUGCUAGUCUAAGGUCGUAGGAGGUUAUAUAGGCAAAUCCGUAUAACAAUACUCCGAGAACUGAAAGGCUUUUUGAAGUCUUCGGAUGGAUAGAAGAACCCCUGAUGCCGUCGAGCCAAGAAAAGUUUCUAAGUUUAGCUAAUGUUGCCCGUACCGUAAACCGACACAGGUGGGUGGGAUGAGUAUUCUAAGGCGCGUGGAAGAACUCUCUUUAAGGAACUCUGCAAAAUAGCACCGUAUCUUCGGUAUAAGGUGUGGUUAGCUUUGUAUUAGGAUUUACUCCGAAAGCAAGGAAACUUACAACAAAGAGUCCCUCCCGACUGUUUACCAAAAACACAGCACUCUGCUAACUCGUAAGAGGAUGUAUAGGGUGUGACGCCUGCCCGGUGCUCGAAGGUUAAUUGAUGGGGUUAGCAUUAGCGAAGCUCUUGAUCGAAGCCCGAGUAAACGGCGGCCGUAACUAUAACGGUCCUAAGGUAGCGAAAUUCCUUGUCGGUUAAAUACCGACCUGCAUGAAUGGCGUAACGAGAUGGGAGCUGUCUCAAAGAGGGAUCCAGUGAAAUUGUAGUGGAGGUGAAAAUUCCUCCUACCCGCGGCAAGACGGAAAGACCCCGUGGACCUUUACUACAGCUUGACACUGCUACUUGGAUAAGAAUGUGCAGGAUAGGUGGGAGGCUUUGAGUAUAUGACGCCAGUUGUAUAUGAGCCAUUGUUGAGAUACCACUCUUUCUUAUUUGGGUAGCUAACCAGCUUGAGUUAUCCUCAAGUGGGACAAUGUCUGGUGGGUAGUUUGACUGGGGCGGUCGCCUCCCAAAUAAUAACGGAGGCUUACAAAGGUUGGCUCAGAACGGUUGGAAAUCGUUCGUAGAGUAUAAAGGUAUAAGCCAGCUUAACUGCAAGACAUACAAGUCAAGCAGAGACGAAAGUCGGUCUUAGUGAUCCGGUGGUUCUGUGUGGAAGGGCCAUCGCUCAAAGGAUAAAAGGUACCCCGGGGAUAACAGGCUGAUCUCCCCCAAGAGCUCACAUCGACGGGGAGGUUUGGCACCUCGAUGUCGGCUCAUCGCAUCCUGGGGCUGGAGCAGGUCCCAAGGGUAUGGCUGUUCGCCAUUUAAAGCGGUACGCGAGCUGGGUUCAGAACGUCGUGAGACAGUUCGGUCCCUAUCUGCCGUGGGCGUAAGAAGAUUGAAGAGAUUUGACCCUAGUACGAGAGGACCGGGUUGAACAAACCACUGGUGUAGCUGUUGUUCUGCCAAGAGCAUCGCAGCGUAGCUAAGUUUGGAAAGGAUAAACGCUGAAAGCAUCUAAGCGUGAAGCCAACUCUAAGAUGAAUCUUCUCUAAGCUCUCUAGAAGACUACUAGUUUGAUAGGCUGGGUGUGUAAUGGAUGAAAGUCCUUUAGCUGACCAGUACUAAUAGAGCGUUUGGCUUAUCUUUAAUAAAGCAU
rnacentral:rRNA from 1 species